rnacentral:rRNA from 1 species
GGGCCCGCACAAGCGGUGGAGCAUGUGGUUUAAUUCGAUGAUACGCGAGGAACCUUACCAGGACUUAAAUGCACAAUGACAGAUUGGGAAACCAAUCCUUCUUCGGACAAUGUGCAAGGUGCUGCAUGGUUGUCGUCAGCUCGUGCCGUGAGGUGUUGGGUUAAGUCCCGUAACGAGCGCAACCCCUAUUCUUAGUUGCCAGCGGUUCGGCCGGGGACUCUAAGAAAACUGCCAGCGCAAGCUGUGAGGAAGGUGGGGAUGACGUCAAAUCAUCACGGCCCUUACGUCCUGGGCUACACACGUGCUACAAUGGUAGGUACAAAGGGCAGCCACUUGGUGACAAGAAGCUAAUCUCUAAAACCUAUCUCAGUUCGGAUUGGAGUCUGAAACUCGACUCUAUGAAGCUGGAAUCGCUAGUAAUCGCGUAUC